rnacentral:tRNA from 1 species
CCUGGUGGCUCAGAUGGUAAAGAAUCUGCUUGGAAUGCAGCAGACCCAGGUUCGAUCCCUGGGUCAGGA